CAGCAGCUUGUCCAGGAUCACAAUGUCCAGGUGAGUUUGGAAUUUCUCCAGACUAGGAGACUCCACAACCUCUCUGGGCAGCCUGCUCCAGGGCUCCACUACUCUCACACCAAGGAAUCCUUUUCCUCCUGUCCAUGUGGAACCUCCUGGAUUCCAGUUUUUGCCCAUUACAUUUUGUCCUGUUUCUAGGCACCACUGAGAAGAGCCUAGCCCCAUCCUCUUGCCCCCUGCCCUUUAGCUAUUGAUCAGAAUUGAGAAGAUCCCUUCUGGGGCUGCUCUUUUCCAGGCUCAACAGCCUCAGGGCUCUCAGUCUUUCCUCUUCACAGAGACUCUCCAGCCCUCUCAGCAGCUUUGUAGCCUCCUCUCAGCUCUCCAGUAGCUCCUUGUGUCUCUUGAACUGGGGAGCCCUACACUGUGAAGUAUCUCAUACAUGAGCUGGUAGAAGGAUUUCCAGCAGAGUUUGCAGGUAAGAGCAGAUCUGCCCUAAAUGGAUGCUGGGGCAGGUGGAUAUUGGUUACAUUCUCCUCCAGCAUAUCUGCACUGGUGCAACUGGAACUCCAUCAAGGUACCCUGCAGGAGAGGACUCUGUGACAGAAGGUGUGGCAUGGAGACCUGACCUACCUGAGGCUGAUGGAUCCCUUUCUAAAUGCCCACUCCAGCCAAAGAAGCAAAGAACAGGAUGAGAAAGAAACUUGGCAGUAGGAAGACAAGAGAAGACUGCCAGCCCUGAGAUCCUGACCUGGACCUUGGCCAAGCUGUGCAAGGUUUAUAGAAACCAUUCUCUGUAACCUUAGAGGGCUCAAAUUCCAGUGAGAGAAAGAUGAUGCACACGGGUUGGAUCCUUCCCCUUGCGAGUCAAUCAUCUGUCAUCAUUCUGUCAAUAGUUUGGGGCUUGCUGGGUGUUGCAUCAAACCCCCACCAACAGCUUGACAUCUUGUUCAGAUAAAGAAGAGAGAACACCUGUCCUUGGCGAAGCGCACAUAAUAAAGCAAGGCAUCAUCAAUUCCCAUCAAUUUUACUGCUGCUAAAAGUAAUAAUAAUAAUAAUGGGCUGCUGUAGUUCUUCCAAAGGUCAAUUCCUGCAUGAGGUGCAUCGACUUGGAGGGAUUGUACACUGUAAAUAAACAGCAGCAUAAUUUAUCUUC